AGGAGUAGGGUUUCUGGGCAACUUAAACGGACCCAGAGUUAGUCGAUCCUAAUCAAAUUAAAUUUAGAGAAAGGGAAUAUGAAUGAUAUUUCAUAACUAAAAUUAAUUUUUAAAUGGUGACAUUUUUUUAAACUUAUUUCCAUCAAUUAAAUACUGUUUAAUAGGGAUUUCUUUCCUAUAUAACUUUUUAAUUAAAACUUAAGAAACAGGUUAACUGGAGAAUAAAGUUUUAAUUUAGUAAAAUUAUAAUUUCGAUUAUAAUAACGGCUAUUUAAAUGAUCCAUGAAACGAUAAGUUUAUUUUUUCAAAAAUUAAUUUAAUCGUACCGAUAACCGCAUCAGGUCUCCAAGGUGAGUAGCUUCUGGCCAUUGAGUAAUGGUAAUUUAGGGAAUUCGGCCAAUUAGAGCUGUAACUUCGGGAUAAAGCUUGGCUCUGAUGGAAAUCAGAACCGAUAGUUACAAGGAGAGCCCAACUGUUUAAUAAAAACUUAGUGUCGCGUCAUACCUUUAUAAGUAAUAAACGUGACAUGAAUCCUGCUCAGUGCUGUGUUUGUUAAACUGGAUUAAUCCAUUUAAGCGCCGGUAAAUAGCUGGGGUAACUAUGACUCUUAUCAAAGUAGCGAAAUACCUCGUCACUUAAUUAGUGACCUGCAUGAACGGAGCUAUGAGGUUCUCACUGUCCCAAAUUAUCACUCAGCGAACCAACAGUUGUGGGAACGGGCACAAAUUAUCCAGCGGGGAAAGAAGACCCUGUAGAGCUUCACUUUGGUCUAAUCUUGUAUAGUUUCGUUAGGGGUGCAGUCUAGGUGGGAGAUUUUUAAUCAAAUAUGAGAAACCACUACCCUUUCUGGAAUUAUACUUACUAAAAUUCUUUUCUAAAUUUUAGGAUCGGAUUAGAUAGAAAGUUUGGCUGGGGCGGCACACCUUCGAAAAAGCAGCGAAGGUGUCCUAAGUUAAGCUCAGUAAGGACAGAAAUCUUACGUUGAGGAUAAGGCCAAAAGCUUAAUUUACUGUGCCUUUUUGUACUAGGAUCAGUUUGGAAACAAAGGCCUAACGAUCCCUAAUUAGUCUUAGGUGUGUAAGACUUGGGGUGACAGACAAGUUACCUCCGGGACAACUGGCUUGUGGCUGCUAAGAGAUCAAAUCAACGCAGCUUUUUGAUUCUUCGAUGUCGGCUCUUCCUAUCCUAGUGAUGUACAAGUCACUAAGGGUUGGAUUGUUCACCCGUAUAAGGAAUCGUGAGCUGGGUUUAGACCGUCGUGAGCCAGGUUUGUUUUAUCCUACUGGAUAUAAUUUAGCAUCUUGAUAGUAGUUUGAUUUAGUACGAGAGGAACUGUUGAAUAUGGUCUCUGGUUUGGGAAUUUUAUGAAAAUAAAAGUUCCAAAGCUACGCCGUCUGAGAUAAUGGCUGAAGGCCUCUUAAGCCAGAAACUCAUCUAAAAAUAGAUGCUUUAAACUAUUUAAAAGAAUUAAAUUUAAAAUAUUUUUUUUAUUAAAAUUUGUUAAUAAUUCUUUAGUUUAAAUGACCAAAUGUAGAAGACGUUUUGUCAACAAGGGUCCUGUAAGUGUGAGAGUGGCAUUU
rnacentral:rRNA from 1 species